rnacentral:rRNA from 1 species
UACGUAGGGACCAAGCGUUGUUCGGAUUCACUGGGCGUAAAGGGUGCGUAGGCGGUCGGGUAAGUCUGACGUGAAAUCUUCAAGCUCAACUUGGAAACUGCGUCCGAUACUAUUCGGCUAGAGGAAUGGAGGGGAGACUGGAAUACUUGGUGUAGCAGUGAAAUGCGUAGAUAUCAAGUGGAACACCAGUGGCGAAGGCGAGUCUCUGGACAUUUCCUGACGCUGAGACGCGAAAGCGUGGGGAGCAAACAGG